AGUAUGGUAGGUGCUGCCACCCGCGGACUCGGUGAUGGACAGGUUUCUGGUCCCGCCCUGCCCUCCAGGUCGCUCCCCUCCUCCUCCACUGCGGGGCCUAAGCCAAUUGGAAGGACUGAGCCCCUCCGGGCGACAACCAGAAGGCGGCCCCUCCUCCCGCCUGUUGCCAUCCGAAGCAGGAGAAGUCAGUUCACAGAACAAUUGCUGUGGCUGUGAGUCCUGAGCAAGGAAUAACCUGUCUCGGGGAUGGAACCGGUGAGGCAGGUACAUGCCCUUCUGCGCCCCGAGAACUUUAUCUGCAUUUGACUCUCAUCAAUCAUGACGUCUAAAGUAUAGAAGAAACGGCAAAGAACGUCCCUUCCAUCUCGCCCUGUUUCUCCUGUGCACAUGAUGAAAAUCAGUCAACAGGGAUUUUUCUUCCCUUAAUGGGGGCAAAAUUAGAAGCAAGACAAGACUGGAUUUUGAAGCGGUUGCAGUAACCCAGGUGAAAAAGGAUGAGGGGCUUGCACAGCAACGUGGAUGUACAUAAUGUCACAAAGUCGUACACUUAAAAAUGCUUAAAAUGGUUAAUUUUAGGUUAUGUGUAUUUUAUCACAAUAAAAAAAUAAGAGGCUGACCUGCAGCAGUAAUAGUGAUAACGGCAGAAGAUUCUACAAGUGUUAGGAAAUGGUUGGGUGCAGAUACAUUUUCAUAUCAUUCUCAUGGGCAAAUUGUGCAGAUGAACAAAUAUUAAACUCCAGCACACUAAUGCCAGAAACACUCUUACAACCUUCUCAUUGAAACAAACAGACCUACACAUCAUGAAGUCAUUCAAUCAGAUUUUACAACGAAAUGUUUUUCGUCGUACAUUUAGAACAUUUUCUUUUAUGACAUGUAAAUAUCAAGCUUUAAACAAAUCAUACAGAUGGGAAAAUGAAAUGUGCUGCACUAAAAGCACCCGGAUUUAGCAAAGAAAGGGCAAAAAAGGGGGGAACCACUCCUCGAGGCAUCUCUGGUUCAGUUUUGACUGUCAGAAAUACGAGAGAGGUAAAAGCAUUUCCAGGAUUCAGUUGCAUCUGUGAGUUGAGCACAAAAGGAAAAGAUAAAUAGGAAGGAACUUCAGACAUGACUUGUGCAAACAGCAGAUUCAUCGGUUUUGGUAAUGACAAUUUACAUUUUAGGAUUUGUAAUCUGUUGACAUGUGAUUCAUUGAAAUUCCAUGGAGGAAUUAGAAGAGAUCUGGAAUUAUUUUCAGAAAAAUAUAACAUUUCACGUUAAACUUUCAGAUGUAUAUCUAUCUGGUUUUUCCAAUAUGUCUUUUAACAGAUGGCUUUCUAAUAAUACAUUUUACUGUUCCUUCAUCUCCAUCCCCACAAAUGAUUGGGUAAAGAAGUGAAAAAUACUGUCAAGACCAAUAUUAACGAGGAGUAUGACAGCUAGAAUCAGGAUUUCAUUUUAAUACAGCAUGAUUCUUUUCUACUGAAUUAAAGUUAUUUGAUAAUAGCUCAUGAGUUUCAAUAACAAAAGAGUUUCUUCUAGAGCUCACAAAGAACUUAAAAUGUACAACUUAAAUAAAAAAGAUAUUUUUUUAAAGCCCCGGCAACCAGAAAAUUUACUUAACUUGAUACAUACAGACUUCAGAGAAACCUGACUUUUGUAAAGCCAGGCCAUUUCCUCUAGGAUUUCUGUAAACUCAAUCAUCAUACAGGGGAAAAGCAAGCGUCUGUUACCUUAAGUUCACAAUACUGGAGUGACAGUGACCCACAGCCAAAUUUGAAAUGGCGGUGGCUUCAUACAUUGAAUAAUAGAAACUGUCUUGUUUUUCACAGUUAGUGCAAUCAACCUAAUGGCUUUUGUAUAAUUUUCCAAGCUACUUAAUGGAUAUUUUGUGGUUUAAAAUAAUUAUCUUUCCUGUCAGGCAAGAUAAAGACUCCAAAUUUCUUCAUUUGAAGAGUGAAUCUUCUCAAGAAGACGUUUAUGUUUGUUGGAGCAAUAAUUCCAGGCACUAUUCUACAGACCAACACGAGUCUGUGUUGAAGUGUUCUCAGUGAAAUAAGAAAAAUUGGGGC
ensembl:lncRNA